GACGAACGCUGGCGGCGUGCUUAACACAUGCGAGUCGAACGGAAAGGCCCUGCUUUUGUGGGGUGCUCGAGUGGCGAACGGGUGAGUAACACGUGAGUAACCUGCCCUUGACUUUGGGAUAACUUCAGGAAACUGGGGCUAAUACCGGAUAGGAGCUCCUGCUGCAUGGUGGGGGUUGGAAAGUUUCGGCGGUUGGGGAUGGACUCGCGGCUUAUCAGCUUGUUGGUGGGGUAGUGGCUUACCAAGGCUUUGACGGGUAGCCGGCCUGAGAGGGUGACCGUCCACAUUGGGACUGAGAUACGGCCCAGACUCCUACGGGAGGCAGCAGUGGGGAAUAUUGCACAAUGGGCGGAAGCCUGAUGCAGCAACGCCGCGUGCGGGAUGACGGCCUUCGGGUUGUAAACCGCUUUCGCCUGUGACGAAGCGUGAGUGACGGUAAUGGGUAAAGAAGCACCGGCUAACUACGUG
rnacentral:rRNA from 1 species